GGAUACACCACCUUCACACUACGUGCUCAAACUUGAGUCUUUCUCACUCUUUUCUGCAAAUGGAGUGGAUCAUAUCAACUCAAACAGCUUUCAAGUUGGAGAUCACCAAUGGAAGAUUAAAUUGUUUCCAAAGGGAAAUAAUGAGGGCAAGGAUGAUCAUGUGUCUGUAUACCUUUUGUUGGAUAGCACCAGUUCUCUACCUGUUGGUAAGGGCGUAAACGCCAUUUUGAAGUUCUUUUUACUCGACCAAAUUCGAGGAGAUUAUCUAGUUGUUCAAGGGAAAGCAAGUCGUUUUGACAGGUUUAAAUGUGAAUGGGGUUUUGAUAAGUUCAUCUCUUUAGAAGAGUUCGAAGAACCUACUAAUGGUUAUCUGAUUAAUGACACUUCGUUCUUUGGUGUUGAGGUUUUCAUAUGUGAAGGCUUACCUCUAGGGGAAUGUCACUCAAUUUCGGAAGUUGAUA